AUUAACAGAAUAAGAGAUAAUAAAAUUAAUUACUAGCACUAAUUUUAACUUAUAUUAUUGUUGAAAAGUACGACAUUGUGACAGUACCGCCAUCUGUAUGAACUAGUUUGUGCAUUUAUAGACGAAGAGCGAUACCGAUAAGAUCUUGCAUAAUAUGCCGUUUUACUAUCAAUUGGAUUGCAAUUAAAAAGUGCAUCACCACGUGUUCCAUCAGGACAGGUACAAACAGCAAUAUGACGCCUUGGAGUGCAAACGGCAUUUGGUCCACACUCAUAACCAGUACAUGGAUUUUGACAAGUGAAAUCUAUGCAAGCUCGAUUAUCGGGACAUUCACUAUCGCUAAGGCACUCUCCCCGUUGACAUACUUUUAGAGCGUUACCAAUAUAACCAGUAGGACAUGUACAAACUGGUCUUUCUUUACCUGUAUUAUCAUGACCAGGAGUACAAAUUGCAUCUAUACCACAAGGGUUUGGUUCACAAAGAUCUCCUGAAAAUAUAACAUCUUAUUAUAGUUUAAAAGCUUAUAUUUAAAAAAAUAUUUUAAUAAUAAUGCUUUUGAAACAUAUUAAAUACUUGGUUCAAAAUUUCUGCAAUACACAAAAGGAUUCCCUGUCAUAUGUCUUGGACAACUGCAUACAGGAGUAAUAUCACGUAAGUUACAAUCAGCAUUUACUCCACAUACACCGUCACAAGGAUUUAUACAUUUUUGAUAAAAACAAGCAGGUUUGCUAGCUGGACAAUCAGACAAACUUACAUGUGGACAUGUACAUUUGGCAAGAUGAUUGACAACAUCGCAAUUAGCAUUUUUACCACAUUUACAUGGACUUUCACAUUUAAAUAAGGAUGAACAUGCUAGAUGAUUAGGACAUUCAUGGUCAUUUUCACAUUCA